UACGAAGGGGGCUAGCGUUGCUCGGAAUUACUGGGCGUAAAGGGCGCGUAGGCGGCGCAUUUAGUCAGGCGUGAAAGCCCUGGGCUCAACCUGGGGACUGCGCUUGAUACGGGUGUGCUAGAGGACGGAAGAGGGUCGCGGAAUUCCCAGUGUAGAGGUGAAAUUCGUAGAUAUUGGGAAGAACACCGGUGGCGAAGGCGGCGACCUGGUCCGUUACUGACGCUGAGGCGCGACAGCGUGGGGGAGCAAACAGG
rnacentral:rRNA from 1 species